rnacentral:rRNA from 1 species
GACGAACGCUGGCGGCGUGCUUAACACAUGCAAGUCGAACGGAAAGGCCCUGCUUUUGUGGGGUGCUCGAUUGGCGAACGGGUGAGUAACACGCGAGUAACCUGCCCUUGACUUUGGGAUAACUUCAGGAAACUGGGGCUAAUACCGGAUAGGAGCUCCUGCUGCAUGGUGUGGGUUGGAAAGUUUCGGCGGUUGUGGAUGGACUCGCUGCUUAUGAGCUUGAUUGUGAGGUAGUGGCUUACCAAGCCUUUGACGGGUAGCCGGCCUGGGAGGGUGAACGGGCACAUUGGGCCUGAGGUAGGGCCCAGUCUCCUACGGGAGGCAGCGGUGGAGAACCUUGCGCAAUGGGCGGAAGCCUGAUGCAGCAACGCCGCGUGCGGGAUGCCGGCCUUCGGGUUGUGAACCGCUUUCGCCUGUGACGAAGCGUGAGUGACGGUACCGGGUAAAGAGGCACCGGCUAACUACGUG